CAACGGCAUACCUUUUGUAUAAGUGCGACACGAAGUUAUAUCGUACACUUCCGUGAAAUCCGGAAUCGGCAGUGUUACGCCGAUAUUCUACCUUGGCAUGCGUCUGAAGCAAUUCGGGGGUGUGAAGCCCAAGGGACAAUGUAGCCGAAAGCCUUGCGAUUAGGGUGUAGGAGCUAGAAUGAAUCUUUAUGUCUAAUGUAAUGUGAAUCAAUGUUUGAAGCUUCGUAAAAGGUGUCUCUAGAAUCGCCGGGAUAAUAUACCGUCUACUGGAGAAUUGUGGUUAGGUCUGAGGUUUUAUGCUCCGCAGACAGUAACAUUAAACUUGCCACCGGAGUAAAGUUGGAGACUAAGAAGAUAAUAAGUGUGUACAGUGUGGAACGUGGUAAGCCCUUUAUUCUCUCAUAUAACUGAUGAGUGGGUGGAGAGCGAUCUCUGCUAUCGAAUAGAGGGUAAAAGAAAAGAUAAAAAGCGAAUGCCUGGAUGUAACCUUCAGGAUAAUGGUCCAUACCAUGAGAUGAAAGUCUGCUGACUUAUCUAGGUGUGUUUAACCAACAAUCUGUUGUAUUUUAUUAUUAUUCUUACCAUAAAGGUAAAAUAAUUGCUGGAAUUGACUUGUAUAAUGUAAGAAAUGAAAGCAUUAAAUAAAAAGUGGAAUUCCAUAGAUUGGAAAACAACCAGAACUUUUGUUUCUGAUUUACAACAGAAAAUGGUGGUGGCGUAUAAAAAUAAUAAUUGGUCGGAAGUAUUCCGCUUACAACAGCAACUCAUGCACUCAUUCGAGGGUAGAGCUACUGCCGUAAGGAAAGUGGUGUCCAAUGAAGGUAGUAAAACUAAAGGGCCUGAUGGUAAAACCUGGAAAAAGUCUCAAGACAAGUAUCGGGCAAUAGCAGAUAUCCGUGAUCAUCUACUAACGAAAUCAGGCUCCUAUAAGGCAGGCGCCGUUCGAAGGGUCUGGAUCCCUAAGUCCAGUCCCGGAGAACUACGUCCCCUUGGUAUCCCUAAUAUGAUUGACCGAGCAUUGCAAGCACUUGUCCUAUCCUGUCUCGAUCCCAUCGUGGAAGAAAACAGUGACUCGUGUUCGUACGGAUUUCGGAAGUAUCGUAGUACUAACGACGCAAUACAGCGUAUAAGAUUCAUUCUCGAUAAAGCUGGGGCACCCCGUUAUAUAUGGGAUGCUGACAUCAGUAAAUGCUUUGAUAACAUUUCUCACACAUUUCUUAACAAGGUUGUGAGGGAAAAUCUUUGCAGGAAGGGUUGUGAGCUUGUCGAAGCGUGGUUGAAAGCGCCAAUAAUAGAAAAAGGUUCCAAGAGCUACCCAAGUAGAGGCACUCCACAGGGAGGGGUACUUUCGCCAUUAUUAUGUAAUAUGACUCUAAACGGGUUAGAGAAUGUAAUUCGAGAUGGUUUACCCUCGUCCAGUAGUACGGCAGGGAGGAAACUUAAAGGGAGAUGGGUUGUGAGAUACGCGGAUGAUUUUAUUAUCACCAAUCCGAUUGGUAAAUCUCAAUUUAUAGACAACGAUAUUCCUCUUAUAAACAAAUUUAUGGCCGAUCGAGGUCUAGAGAUAUCUGAAAAGAAAUCUCGAAUCAUAGACCUCGAGAAAGAAAGUUUUAACUUUCUAGGCUGGAAAAUAAGUCAACGUAAGAGAAAUAUUUCUGUCAAUAAGGCGAGCGAUAGCAGACUUGUUCUUGUUGUCGAACCUACCAAGGAAUCUAUUAAACGGCUUAAAUCGCGUAUUAAAUUGGAAUUCCGAUCUAACAAGCCGAUAGGAGCCUUGAUUAAAGAUUUAAACCCAGUCCUUCGAGGCUGGGCAAACUACUAUCGAGGAUCUUAUCACUCCCAGCAAAGUUUCCAAUCGAUUGGGCACUAUGUUUACCAGUUAUUUUGGAAAUGGGCUCAAAAGAAACAUUCGAGUAGGAACAAACAAUGGAUCUACGACAGAUAUAUUGUAAGGACCGAAAAGUCGCUCUUGGCAAUAGGCGUAGAUAAAAAUCUACUUCUGUACGACAUAACCCAAGCAAAGCAGAUAAGGGUUAGUAACCUAAAGAACAAUAUCAAUCCAUAUACUGAUAAUGAUUACUUUGUUAAUCGUGUUAUUCUCAGGGAUGCAGAUAAAUUUCGGAAGGCUAUCUAUAAACUGAAUAAAUUUAGGUGUUUUGUGUGUAGAGGAUCACUGUACGGUGAUGAACCUAUACACCUCCACCACCUAAUCGCUAGAAAAGAUGGUGGAGAGUAUACCCUGAAAAAUAUAGUACCAGUACAUGCAAUUUGCCAUGACAGUAUUACAUAUGCCGUAAAGUAAAAAUAUGAUGGGAGUUUUACCGCCCCUAUCAUGUUAUUUAAUAGAAUAAACAUGCUUCAGCCGUGUGCGGUGAAAGUCGCACGCACGGUUGUGAGGGGGGGAAAAUCUGUGAAGAUCUACCUAUCCCGAUUGGGCAAG
rnacentral:ncRNA from 11 species